rnacentral:rRNA from 1 species
UAUUAUAUUUUAAAAAGUAUGAUUUUUUAAUU